rnacentral:misc_RNA from 1 species
GUAGGUGAACCUGCGGAAGGAUCAUUAACACAAUACUUUCAAUAUCAACCUCGGAGCACUGUCUGACCCUAAGGGAGCUGGUGCUAGGAAGGCAAUGGUUAGAGGAGGUCUCGCUUUCCAAGCGCGCCCGCCUCGGCUCUCCUAGAUGCUCACCCUUCCCUCCCACUCUUGCCGUGUUUGUUCUUCGGACCGGACGCCUUGAGUCAGUGGAAAGCAGUUUGCGGUAACCCCGCCUGUGGAAGAGGUGAUG